CAAAGACUAAGCCAUGCAAGUGUAAGUAUGAGUGAAUUGUACAACGAAACUGCGAAUGGCUCGGUAAAACAGCUAUAGUUUCUUCGGUGGUAAAUACUACUUGGAUACCCGUAGUAAUUCUAGAGCUAAUACAUGCUAAGAAGCGAUGCUUGCAUCGCUGAGCAAGUUACAGAUACAAACCAAUAUUUGGUGAUUCAUAACUUUUUUUCUGAUUGCCCUGUAGGGCGACACACCGUUCAAAUUUCUGACCUAUCAACUUUGGAUGGUAAGGUAUUGUCUUACCAUGGUUGUGACGGGUAACGGACCGUGGGUGCGGGACUCCGGAGAGGGAGCCUGAGAAACGGCUACCACAUCCAAGGAAGGCAGCAGGCGCGCAAAUUACCCAAUCCGGACACCGGGAGGUAGUGACAAGAAAUAGCAAUAGAGGGCCCAACGGGUUUUCUAAUUGGAAUGAGAACUAGGUAAACAGCAUAUCGAGGAACCAGCAGAGGGCAAGUCUGGUGCCAGCAGCCGCGGUAAUUCCAGCU
rnacentral:rRNA from 1 species